rnacentral:rRNA from 1 species
UACGGGGGGGGGCAAGCGUUGUUCGGAAUUACUGGGCGUAAAGGGCUGGUAGGCGGCCAACUAAGUCGGAUGUGAAAUCCCCAGGCUUAACCUGGGAACUGCAUCCGAUACUGGUCGGCUUGAAUCCGGGAGAGGGAUGCAGAAUUCCAGGUGUAGCGGUGAAAUGCGUAGAUAUCUGGAGGAAUACCGGUGGCGAAGGCGGCAUCCUGGACCGGCAUUGACGCUGAGGAGCGAAAGCCAGGGGAGCAAAGCGGG